rnacentral:misc_RNA from 1 species
AUUAAGCCUCUUUCUAUUUUUUCUUUGCAAUAUGACUUCUGGGCCAUCUCUAAGCCACAUCACAGGGUUUCUAGCUAAUGGGAUAAUCAUUUUUAACUUUCUAACACUUCACUUUUCAGUUAAUUCUAACCAAAUAAUUACAUAACAAGAGGUAUGUGGUUUGAAUCUCCCUUGCAAAAUAUGAGUGAGAGGGAGCAAAAGAAAACGUACAACUCAACAGAAUCAAAGAUUAACAAUGUCACUGCCUAAAUAAAAUCCCAUUACAAUGGAUUAUCCUUUCAGACAGCAGUGGUUGAUAAUUUUUUUUUUUUGGGGGGGGGGGGAAUUUGGUAAUGAUGGUAAUUGUUUACUUAAGUUAUAGUUUUAUCCCUUCCUUUUUUUUGUCCCCUCAGUUAUUUGUUUAACAUGAUGAAAGUGAUCCCUUUACAUCGUCUAUAUGACAUUAGUUAUUUUGUCACUUUUUUUCCCCUUUGCGAUCAUGCGAAAUUUUUAUUACAUUCUAGACGGUAUGCUGCUUGGUUUUUCUUUUCUGUUGCUAAACUCAAUUGCAAACUGCCAUUGAUCGUCUCCUUAAUUAUUAGGAUUGAAUUGAUAAGAUUUUGUUUGAAAGCUGAAAACAUAGUUUACAAUAUAGAUACACUUCUCUAUUGAAAACGAUAGCAAGUUGAGUUGCAUUUCUUGGUUUUGUUCACCU